rnacentral:rRNA from 1 species
UACGUAGGGUGCGAGCGUUGUCCGGAAUUAUUGGGCGUAAAGAGCUCGUAGGCGGUGUGUCACGUCGGCCGUGAAAACCUGCAGCUUAACUGUGGGCGUGCGGUCGAUACGGGCAUCACUGGAGUUCGGCAGGGGAGACUGGAAUUCCUGGUGUAGCGGUGAAGUGCGCAGAUAUCAGGAGGAACACCGGUGGCGAAGGCGGGUCUCUGGGCCGAUACUGACGCUGAGGAGCGAAAGCGUGGGGAGCGAACAGG